rnacentral:rRNA from 1 species
AAAACAAAUACGAAGGGUGCAAGCGUUAAUCGGAAUUACUGGGCGUAAAGCGCGCGUAGGCGGUUUGUUAAGUCAGAUGUGAAAACCCAGGGCUUAACUUUGGGAGUGCAUUUGAAACUGGAGGGCUUGAGUGCAGGAGAGGUAAGUGGAAUUCCUAGUGUAGCGGUGAAAUGCGUAGAUAUUAGGAGGAACACCAGUGGCGAAGGCGACUUACUGGACUGUAACUGACGCUGAGGCGCGAAAGCGUGGGGAGCAAACAGG